GAUAAAAAAACAAACACUUUUUUUGUCCUUAUUAUGUACAUUUUUUUUUCUUCUUCUUAUUCAUUGGAUUGAUGAAAUUAGAAAUCAGGCAGUGCUCCUGAAUGAACCUAGAGCUUUAAUUGCGCCUGCACGGAGGACAAACUGGUGGUAGAAGGCCGCGAUGAACGCUCCAAUAAAUGGACCAACCCAGAAAAUCCAAUGUUCGUCCCAC
rnacentral:misc_RNA from 1 species